AUUGAACGCUGGCGGCAGGCCUAACACAUGCAAGUCGAACGAGUGGCGGACGGGUGAGUAAUGUCUGGGAAACUGCCUGAUGGAGGGGGUUACCUACUGGAAACGGUAGCUAAUACCGCAUACCAUCAGAUUUGCCCAGCUGGGAGUAGCUAGUUGGUGGGGUAACGGCUCACAACGGCCACGAUCCCUAGCUGGUCUGAGAGGAUGCACAGCAACACUGGAACUGAGACACGGUCCAGACUCCUACGGGAGGCAGCAGUGGGGAAUAUUGCACAAUGGGCGCAAGCCUGAUGCAGCCAUGCCGCGUGUAUGAAGAAGGCCUUCGGGUUGUAAAGGACUUUCAGCGGGGAGGCGUUACCCGCAGAAGAAGCACCGGCUAACUCCGUGCCAGCAGCCGCGGUAAUAC
rnacentral:rRNA from 1 species